AGUCAAUGAUCGAAAGAUUGAUCUAGUUACUUAAAAUGAUGAAAAUUAUAAUAAUAUAAUAAAAAAAAUAAUAAUGAAGAAUAUAAAAUCAAUAUAUAUAUAUAAAAUAAUGAUAUAAAAAAUAUAUAGAAGUCUUAACAAAAAUUAGUGCCAGCAGUUGCGGCUAAACUGAGGAGGCGAACGUUAAUCAUUAAUGGCUUAAAGGAUCCGUAGAACGAAAAAAAAGAAUAUAGAGUUAAAAGAAAUAAAUAAUGUAUAAUUAUAAUGAGAGAUGAAAUGCAAUGAAAAUAAUUAGACAGCUAAAACUGAAGAGAAUAUUUAUAAUUUAACUGACGUUGAGGGAUGAAAGCAUAAGUAAUAAACCGGAUUAGAUACCCGAGUAAUUUAUGCUGUAAACGAUGAAUACUAAUAUAAAAAAAAUAUAAAAAAAGCGAAAGUAAAGUAUUCCGCCAGGUGAGUAUAUUCGCAAGAAUGAAAUCCAAGACAAUAGACGGUUACAGGUGUAGGCAGUGGAUUGUGUUAU
rnacentral:rRNA from 1 species